UGGGGAAUAUUGGACAAUGGGGGCAACCCUGAUCCAGCAAUACCGCGUGUGUGAAGAAGGCCUUCGGGUUGUAAAGCACUUUAGGUUGGGAAGAAGUUGCGUAGUUUAAGAGAUGACGUAAUUGACUGUACCGACAGAAUAAGCACCGGCUAACUCUGUGCCAGCAGCCGCGGUAAUACAGAGGGUGCAAGCGUUAAUCGGAGUUACUGGGCGUAAAGGGCGCGUAGGCGGUUGUUUAAGUGAGAUGUGAAAUCCCUGGGCUUAACCUAGGAACUGCAUCUUAAACUGAAUGACUGGAGUACUGUAGAGGGUAGUGGAAUUUCCGGUGUAGCGGUGAAAUGCGUAGAGAUCGGAAGGAACACCAGUGGCGAAGGCGGCUACCUGGACAGAUACUGACGCUGAGGCGCGAAAGCGUGGGGAGCAAACAGGAUUAGAUACCCCCGUAGUCC
rnacentral:rRNA from 1 species